AUUGAACGCUGGCGGCAGGCCUAACACAUGCAAGUCGAGCGGGGUUUUCGGACCUAGCGGCGGACGGGUGAGUAAUGCGUAGGAAGCUACCCGAUAGAGGGGGAUACCAGUUGGAAACGACUGUUAAUACCGCAUAAUGUCUACGGACCAAAGUGUGGGACCUUCGGGCCACAUGCUAUCGGAUGCGCCUACGUGGGAUUAGCUAGUUGGUGGGGUAAUGGCUCACCUAGGCGACGAUCCCUAGCUGGUUUGAGAGGAUGAUCAGCCACACUGGAUCUGAGACACGGUCCAGACUCCUACGGGAGGCAGCAGUGGGGAAUAUUGGACAAUGGGCGCAAGCCUGAUCCAGCCAUGCCGCGUGUGUGAAGAAGGCCUUCGGGUUGUAAAGCACUUUCAGUAGGGAGGAAGGGUGUUGUGUUAAUAGCACAGCAUUUUGACGUUACCUACAGAAGAAGCACCGGCUAACUCUGUGCCAGCAGCCGCAGUAAUAC
rnacentral:rRNA from 1 species